GUGGGGAAUAUUGGGCAAUGGGCGCAAGCCUGACCCAGCAACGCCGCGUGAGGGAAGAAGGCUUUCGGGUUGUAAACCUCUGUCCUUGGUGACGAAACAAAUGACGGUAGCCAAGGAGGAAGCCCCGGCUAACUACGUGCCAGCAGCCGCGGUAUACGUAGGGGGCGAGCGUUGUCCGGAAUUACUGGGCGUAAAGGGUGCGUAGGUGGCCUUUUAAGUUGGAUGUGAAAUACCCGGGCUUAACUUGGGGGGUGCAUCCAAAACUGGGAGGCUAGAGUGCAGGAGAGGAAAGCGGAAUUCCUAGUGUAGCGGUGAAAUGCGUAGAUAUUAGGAGGAACACCAGUGGCGAAGGCGGCUUUCUGGACUGUAACUGACACUGAAGCACGAAAGCGUGGGGAUCAAACAGGAUUAGAUACCCGUGUAGUCC
rnacentral:rRNA from 1 species